rnacentral:rRNA from 1 species
GUGGGGAAUAUUGGACAAUGGGCGAAAGCCUGAUCCAGCCAUGCCGCGUGUGUGAAGAAGGUCUUCGGAUUGUAAAGCACUUUAAGUUGGGAGGAAGGGCAGUAAGUUAAUACCUUGCUGUUUUGACGUUACCGACAGAAUAAGCACCGGCUAACUUCGUGCCAGCAGCCGCGGUAAUACGAAGGGUGCAAGCGUUAAUCGGAAUUACUGGGCGUAAAGCGCGCGUAGGUGGUUUUGUAAGUUGGAGGUGAAAUCCCCGGGCUCAACCUGGGAACUGCCUCCAAAACUGCAUGACUAGAGUACGGUAGAGGGUAGAGGAAUUUCCUGUGUAGCGGUGAAAUGCGUAGAUAUAGGAAGGAACACCAGUGGCGAAGGCGACUACCUGGACUGAUACUGACACUGAGGUGCGAAAGCGUGGGGAGCAAACAGGAUUAGAUACCCUUGUAGUCC